UACGGGGGGAGCAAGCGUUGUUCGGAUUUACUGGGCGUAAAGGGCGCGUAGGCGGCCACCGCAAGUUGACUGUGAAAUCUCCGGGCUUAACCCGGAAAGGUCAGCCGAUACUGCGGGGCUAGAGUGCAGAAGGGGCAACUGGGAAUUCUCGGUGUAGCGGGUGAAAUGCGUAGAUAUCGAGAGGAACACCUGCGGCGAAGGCGGGUUGCUGGGCUGACACUGACGCUGAUGCGCGAAAGCUAGGGGAGCGAACGGG
rnacentral:rRNA from 1 species